AAAGCCGUGCAGACCAGGGAGAGAGAGGGGGAGAGAGAGUGUGUGUAUGUGUGCGAGAGAGAGAGCGAGGGGGAGAAGCACCGUGCUCCAGGAAGACGAGGCAACACCAGGAUCCUCUAUGUAUAUAAAGAUGGCCACGUUAGCUAACGGACAGCCAGACAAUACCAGCCUCAAUCACAGCAACCCUAACACCAACGGGCACAUGAACGGAUUAAAUCACAGUCCCGGGAGCACUUCCACCAUCCCCAUGAAGGAUCAUGAUGCUAUCAAGCUCUUCAUUGGGCAGAUCCCCCGCAAUCUGGACGAGAAGGACCUCAAACCCCUGUUCGAGGAGUUCGGCAAGAUCUACGAGCUCACAGUGCUGAAGGACAGGUUUACUGGCAUGCACAAAGGCUGCGCCUUCCUCACAUACUGUGAAAGAGAAUCAGCUCUGAAAGCCCAGAGUGCUCUACACGAGCAGAAGACACUGCCAGGGAUGAACCGACCAAUCCAGGUGAAGCCAGCAGACAGCGAGAGUCGAGGAGAAGACAGAAAACUCUUCGUGGGCAUGCUCAAUAAGCAACAGUCAGAAGAUGAUGUCCGCCGACUAUUUGAAGCCUUCGGAAACAUUGAGGAAUGUACAAUUCUUCGAGGACCAGAUGGGAACAGCAAAGGAUGUGCAUUUGUGAAAUAUUCAUCGCAUGCGGAAGCGCAAGCGGCUAUCAACGCCUUGCAUGGAAGCCAGACAAUGCCAGGGGCAUCAUCGAGCUUGGUUGUGAAGUUUGCAGACACAGACAAAGAACGGACAAUGAGGCGCAUGCAGCAAAUGGCCGGUCAGAUGGGCAUGUUUAACCCCAUGGCUGUCCAGUUUGGAGCUUAUGGUGCCUAUGCUCAAGCACUGAUGCAGCAGCAGGCCGCUAUUAUGGCUUCCGUUGCUCAAGGUGGAUAUCUGAACCCCAUGGCUGCUUUUGCAGCUGCGCAGAUGCAGCAGAUGGCAGCUUUAAACAUGAAUGGCCUGGCAGCUGCUCCAAUGACACCAACAUCAGGUGGAAGCACCCCUCCAGGUAUCACUGCACCAGCUGUGCCUAGCAUACCAUCUCCAAUUGGCGUGAAUGGAUUUACUGGGCUCCCUCCACAGGCUAACGGACAGCCGUCUGCUGAAGCUGUGUUUGCUAAUGGAAUCCACCCUUAUCCAGCACAGAGUCCCACCGCGGCAGACCCUUUGCAGCAAGCCUAUGCCGGAGUGCAGCAGUAUGCAGGUACUGCUUAUCCUGCUGCUUACAGCCAGAUCAGCCAAGCGUUUCCCCAGCCACCUCCCAUGAUUCCACAGCAACAGAGAGAAGGACCUGAAGGCUGCAACCUGUUUAUCUACCAUCUGCCCCAGGAAUUUGGGGAUGCCGAGCUGAUGCAGAUGUUCCUGCCUUUCGGUAAUGUCAUCUCCUCGAAAGUGUUUGUGGAUCGGGCGACAAACCAAAGUAAAUGCUUUGGUUUUGUGAGUUUUGACAAUCCUGCCAGUGCCCAGGCGGCCAUCCAGGCCAUGAAUGGCUUCCAGAUUGGCAUGAAAAGACUGAAGGUGCAACUGAAAAGGCCGAAAGACGCCAACCGCCCUUACUGAACCAAUUCAUGAGCCUUCCAGAAUCAUGGACUAGCACAGACCCACCACAUGAUCUCGCGCCGAAAAAGUUCACAUAAUGACGUGAGAGUGGAGAAAAAGCGCUCCCAGUCCGGCAGGAACCGAAUGGGCCGUAUUUUAACAAUACAACAUACAUAUAUAAAUAUAUAUGAUCAAGAAACGCUGGAUCACAACUAUGACAUAUCGGCAAAGUACCAAUUGUGCUGAAGACUUCAGACUUUUCUCUUUGAUUGUUAAGACUGUAACAUUUCUUCAAUGGAAAGUAUCACGCCUGCUUACGUGGAGUAAACACAAGUCGAGAAAACAUCAGACAGGAUCUAUAUCAAUCGGAAUCUCCGAAUAGACACUUAUAGUACCAUACACAUAUAAAAACACUUUUUCUUCUAACAGGAAACCUGAAAUCAGACAAGGAGUGCCUGGUUGCCACCAUGAAUUACGUUGCCGUGGUAACACUAUAGCAACGAUUACGUAUCUGUCAUUCCUUAGCUAUUUAGGGACCAAAGGACCAAACUUUUUACCGCAGACUUGUAGCUGUAUGUAAAAUAUGGAAUUAACUUCCUACUUCUCAGCUGUUAUUAAAACAGAUUGAGUGCAAUUAUAUGAAAUAUGUACAAAAAAAUGCUUAAAAUGCUUUUAAAAUGGCAAGAUAAUAGUUAUUUGAUACUAUCGAAGGUUCUUUGGUUACAUUAAUUCAAAUAUGAAAAUUUCCUAUGGUUUUCUGUAUAUUAUGGAAGGAGUGAGUGCUUAGGGAUUACAGAAAGUAUAGAUAUUAAAAAUAUAAAAAAAAAAAGAAAAAUAUAAAAUUAUUAGAAACUGGUUGUAGUGGAAAAAAAGGUUUGUAAAUGCUUCUAACUAUCCCCAUUUAAACCCCUAAUAGUUGUACAGAAUUUAACAGAAAAGUUUAACAUACCUAUAUAAUAGAAAAAAAAUUAGAGAGCAAAAAAAGUUUAAAAAAAAGCAAAAAAAAUUAAAUAGACGUUAGCGUUAUUGCUAAAAGAAAGAUGUCGUAGAACUGUAAUUUUUUGUAGAGUUUAGAAUAAGCAUAAAAUCCUACUCUUUGCCAAUUGCAUAAUGUAUGAGGAGGAUAUGAGAGGCCGUUAUGGCAGCUUUUAACUGCAAGCAUUCCACCUAUUUAAAAAAAUAAAAAAAAAAUAAUAAAAAAAAAAAAACUUGACUCUUGUAAACAAUGAAAUGAAAUAAAAUUACAACGGCUAAUGUCUUUUUAUCAGUUAGUUUUAACUUGAAGAAUGACAACGGCUAUUGCUUCAUAUCUCCUUAACCUGCUAUUUGCUAAUUAUCCCAUCAUCCUCUGCUUUAGUAGUCUCCAUAUCUGUUCUAGACCUUCAGGGCAAAAGUUAGCCUAGAACCUUAAUAUUGAAAAAAAAAACUAUUAAAAAAAAAAAUACAAUCUUUGAAGAAUUUCUGAAACUGUUUACAAGGAAUUUUGAAAAACAGGGGAUGUUUAAAAUGAUGCUGGCUCUGUUUUUCUGUAAAUAAAUUUGCAUAUUUUGUAGGACUUUUAAUUGUAAUGAUAGAGAAAAAAAAACAAGGAAAACUAUUUAAAUGAAAGCACGAUAUUUAUCUUUGGUAAUUGACUUUAGAGCAGUUUAAAAAAAAUAAAUAAAAAAAAAAUGAAAUAAAAGUUGCUUUAGAAUACAAUUCAGAAAAAAAAAAUCAAUAAACUA